UCUGGUUGAUUUCUGCCAGUGGGCGUACGCUUUUUUCGAAGAUUAAGCCAUGCAUAUGCUAGUUCAUACAUUAAAAAAAAAUGUGAGACUGUGGAAGGCUCAGUAUAUCAGUUAUAAUCUGCUCGAUUGUAAAGGUUAUUGGAUAACCGUGGGAAAUCUAGAGCUAAUACAUGUACUAGCGUGGAGGGGGUUAACGCCACCAACGCGACUGUUGCAUUUAUUAGAAAAUUACCAACCGUGUUGUGGUGCACGUUGCCGUGACGCGUGGUGAAUCUAGAUAACUGUGCAGAUCGUAUGGCCCUGAGCCGGCGACAUUUCGAUUGAAUUUCUGCCCUAUCAACUUUGGUCGGCAGUUUAGUGGACUGCCGAGGUUAUUACGGGUAACGGGGAAUCAGGGUUCGAUUCCGGAGAGGGAGCCUGAGAAACGGCUACCACAUCCAAGGAUGGCAGCAGGCGCGCAAAUUACCCAAUCCAGACAAUGGGAGGUGGUGAAGAAAAGUACCGAAUGACGGCCAAAGGUUGUCAAUUUGGAAUGGAAACAAUUUAAGAAAUUGGUUUGAGUAACGACUGGAGGGCAAGUCUGGUGCCAGCAGCCGCGGUAAUUCCAGCUCCAGUAGCGUAUCUCAAAGUUGCUGCGCUUAAAACGCUCGUAGUUGGAUCAGAGAGCACGUAGUAGUUGGUGCUGGCACGCAAUAUACACUCGGUACAUAGCCAGUGUGUUGUGUGUUGGUGCCUCUAAGCUAGUGCGUGUUAAUUGCAUGUGAGGAUGGUAGUUGACCUUGAGUGAGUCGAUGACCGUGUCUCACAGAGUGUGCCUUGAGUAAAUCAGAGUGCUUAAAGCAAGUGUUUGCUUGAAUGUUGAUAGCAUGGAACGAACGAUCGUGUAUGGUGUGCAGUAAAUUGACGUUGUGACAGAGUUGCAGCGGUCUGUUACUGCAUGACACCGACCACCAGUUACGGAUGUUGGUUCCGUAUUGGGGUAAUGAUUAAGAGGAGCGGUUGGGGGCAUUGGUAUUUGGCAGCGAGAGGUGAAAUUCUUGGACCUGCCAAGGACCAACAAAUGCGAAGGCAUCUGCCAAGACCGUAUCCAUUAAUCAAGAACGAAAGUGAGAGGUUCGAAGACGAUCAGAUACCGUCCUAGUUCUCACUGUAAACUAUGCCGACCCGGGAUGAGUUUGGAGCAAUUUCCACGCUCGAGGUUGGUCCCCCUGGGAAACCUAAAGUUUUUCGGUUGCGGGGGGAGUAUGGUCGCAAGGCUGAAACUUAAAGGAAUUGACGGAAGGGCACCACCAGGGGUGGAGCCUGCGGCUUAAUUUGACUCAACACGGGAAAACUUACCUGGUCCGGACAUCAAAAGGAUAAACUGACUAACAGAUCAUAUUUUGAUAUGAUGAUUGGUGGUGCAUGGCCGUUCUUAGUUCGUGGAGUGAUCUGU
rnacentral:rRNA from 1 species